AGCAGCCGCGGUAAUUCCAGCUCCAAUAGCGUAUAUUAAAGUUGUUGCAGUUAAAAAGCUCGUAGUUGAAUUUCGGGACCAUCAUGUCGGUCGUGCCUCGGUACGUACUGGCAUUGUUGGUUUCUACCUUCUGAAGAAUCAUGAUGUCAUUAAUUUGGUGUCAUGGGGAAUCAGGACUGUUACUUUGAAAAAAUUUAGAGUGUUUAAAGCAGGCUCGCGCUUGAAUACAUUAGCAUGGAAUAAUGAAAUAGGACGUUUAAUUCUAUUUUGUUGGUUUCUAGGAUUGACGUAAUGAUUAAUAGGGAUAGUUGGGGGCAUUAGUAUUCAAUUGUCAGAGGUGAAAUUCUUGGAUUUAUUGAAAGACUA
rnacentral:rRNA from 1 species